GGCUCAGAACGAACGCUGGCGGCAGGCUUAACACAUGCAAGUCGAGCGCCCCGCAAGGGGAGCGGCAGACGGGUGAGUAACGCGUGGGAAUCUACCCUUUUCUACGGAAUAACGCAGGGAAACUUGUGCUAAUACCGUAUGAGCCCUUCGGGGGAAAGAUUUAUCGGGAAAGGAUGAGCCCGCGUUGGAUUAGCUAGUUGGUGGGGUAAAGGCCUACCAAGGCGACGAUCCAUAGCUGGUCUGAGAGGAUGAUCAGCCACAUUGGGACUGAGACACGGCCCAAACUCCUACGGGAGGCAGCAGUGGGGAAUAUUGGACAAUGGGCGCAAGCCUGAUCCAGCCAUGCCGCGUGAGKGAUGAAGGCCCUAGGGUUGUAAAGCUCU
rnacentral:rRNA from 1 species